UUCGCUCCUUGCUACUGCGGUUGCCCUUCUGCUCCAAUAAAUAUAUGAAAGUUGGAGUCCGAGGAGGGAACUAGGGAAAGCAUCCUGAAAUUAUAAGCGGUGGAUUUUAAUGAUGGAAAUGAAAGUUGGUAUUGGAAGAUUUGUUAUGUUCCUUACGGUUGCCCUUCUGCUCCAAAGAAUAUAUCUAAGUUGAGUCCUAGAAGGGAACUCAAGUUUGUAAGUGUUAGAUGGAAAUGAAAGUGGUUGUCUUAACAUGCAAAUUUAUGUUGUUCGCCCUUGCUACUGCAGUUGCCCUUCUGCUCCAAUGAAUAUAUAAAAGUUGGAGUCCGAGGAGGGAACUAUGGAAUGCCUUGUGAAAUUUUAAUCGUUGGAUUUUAAUGAUGGAAAUGAAAGUCGGUCUUGGCAGAUUUGUUAUCUUAUUGCGGUUGCCCUUUUGCUACAAAGAAGAUAUUAAAGUUGGAGUCCUAGAAGGGGACCAGUAAAUGCCCUUUGGUACUAAGUGUCUG
rnacentral:lncRNA from 1 species